rnacentral:tRNA from 1 species
UGAACUGUGGCAGAAUUAAAUGCAUAGGUUUUAAGAGCCUAAAAUAAGUUAUACUUCAGUUCAU